GGGUGCUGCAUGGCUGUCGUCAGCUCGUGUCGUGAGAUGUUGGGUUAAGUCCCGUAACGAGCGCAACCCCUAUCCUUAUUUGCCAGCGGAUUAUGCCGGGAACUCUAAGGAGACUGCCGGUGACAAACCGGAGGAAGGCGGGGAUGAGGUCAAGUCAUCAUGGCCCUCACGGGGUGGGCUAGAAACGUGCUACAAUGGGAAGUACAAAGGGCUGCAAACCCGCGAGGGUAAGCGAAUCCCAAAAAACUUCUCGUAGUCCGGAUAGGAGUCUGCAACUCGACUCCUGAAGUCGGAAUCGCUAGUAAUCGCGAAUCAGAAUGUCGCGGUGAAUACGUUCCCGGGCCUUGUACACACCGCCCGUCACA
rnacentral:rRNA from 1 species